CAUGCCUAAUACAUGCAAGUCGAACGGACUGCACCAAGAAGAGGAAGUGCUUGCACGGAAACGGAAAGGAUAGCAGUUAGUGGCGAACGGGUGAGUAACACGUAGGUAAUCUACCUUAUAGAACAUGAUAACUAUUGGAAAUGAUAGCUAAUACCGUAUAGUAUAAGAAGAUACAUAUUUUCUUAUUUAAAGGCGCUUUCGCGUCGUCAAUAGGUGGGCCUGCGGUGCAUUAGUUAGUUGGUGAGGUAAAGGCUCACCAAGGCAACGAUGCAUAGCCGGACUGAGAGGUUGAACGGCCACAUUGGGACUGAGACACGGCCCAAACACCUACGGGUGGCAGCAGUAGGGAAUUUUUCGCAAUGGACGAAAGUCUGACGGAGCAAUGCCGCGUGAGUGAUGAAGGUUUUCGGAUCGUAAAGCUCUGUUGUAAGGGAAGAAUAGUUAUGUUAGGAAAUGAACAUGAUAUGACGGUACCUUACCAGAAAGGGACGGCUAACUACGUGCCAGCCGCCGCGGUAA
rnacentral:rRNA from 1 species